AGGGUCUACUUCUAACUCUAUGACACAACAUACAUGUGUAGCCACUGAUAUCACACACAAUGCAGAUAAAUCAUUCAUAUGUAUGAACUGCUACAAAUUCUUGACAGAAAUAGCAGAAAAAACUUCAGGUUUGUCAGCUCUGCUGCCAACAUAC